rnacentral:rRNA from 1 species
AGAGUUUGAUCCUGGCUCAGGAUGAACGCUAGCUACAGGCUUAACACAUGCAAGUCGAGGGGAAACGAUAUUGGAAGCUUGCUUCCGAUAGGCGUCGACCGGCGCACGGGUGAGUAACGCGUAUCCAACCUGCCCAUCACUUGGGGAUAACCUUGCGAAAGUAAGACUAAUACCCAAUGAUAUCUCUAGAAGACAUCUGAAAGAGAUUAAAGAUUUAUCGGUGAUGGAUGGGGAUGCGUCUGAUUAGCUUGUUGGCGGGGUAACGGCCCACCAAGGCAACGAUCAGUAGGGGUUCUGAGAGGAAGGUCCCCCACAUUGGAACUGAGACACGGUCCAAACUCCUACGGGAGGCAGCAGUGAGGAAUAUUGGUCAAUGGACGAGAGUCUGAACCAGCCAAGUAGCGUGCAGGAAGACGGCCCUAUGGGUUGUAAACUGCUUUUAUAAGGGAAUAAAGUGAGAGUCGUGACUCUUUUUGCAUGUACCUUAUGAAUAAGGACCGGCUAAUUCCGUGCCAGCAGCCGCGGUAAUACGGAAGGUCCGGGCGUUAUCCGGAUUUAUUGGGUUUAAAGGGAGCGUAGGUCGGAGAUUAAGCGUGUUGUGAAAUGUAGAUGCUCAACAUCUGAACUGCAGCGCGAACUGGUUUCCUUGAGUACGCACAAAGUGGGCGGAAUUCGUGGUGUAGCGGUGAAAUGCUUAGAUAUCACGAAGAACUCCGAUUGCGAAGGCAGCUCACUGGAGCGCAACUGACGCUGAAGCUCGAAAGUGCGGGUAUCGAACAGGAUUAGAUACCCUGGUAGUCCGCACGGUAAACGAUGGAUGCCCGCUGUUGGUCUGAAUAGGUCAGCGGCCAAGCGAAAGCAUUAAGCAUCCCACCUGGGGAGUACGCCGGCAACGGUGAAACUCAAAGGAAUUGACGGGGGCCCGCACAAGCGGAGGAACAUGU